CAUGGGGCUAGGUGCUAGGAAUACAGAUCUGAAUAUGAUGAUCCACUACUGAUAAGGAGUACACUUGGGGCAAAACAAAAUGGUAAAUCUAGUCAUAUAGGAAAUGCAUACAUACAAAGUAAAGACUUGGUACAGAAUUACUAACAAUUUGACAGGGAAGAGCACAGGGAAGAUAACUAGAGAAAGUAACAACUGAGCUGUUUUAAGAUCAAUAUGAUUUUAUCACACAGAUAACUGGGCAUGGGUAGGCAGGGAAUUGAAUGCAACUUUGUUUUAUUUAUUGUUUUUCUUUUUUUUUAGACGGAGCCUGGCUCUGUCGCCCAGGCUGGAGUGCAGUGGUGCAAUCUCGGCUCACUGCAACCACUGCCUCCUAGAUUCAAGCAAUUCUCAUGCCUAAGCCUCCCGAGUAGUUGGGAUUACAGGCGCGUGCCACCAUGCCUGGCUAAUUUUUUUCUGUUUUAUUUUUGAGACAUGGUCUCACUCUGUCAUCUGGGCUGGAGCGCAGUUGGUGUCAUCACAGCUCACUGCAGCCUUGACCUCCCGGGCGCAGGUGAUCCUCCCACCUCAGCCUCCCAGGUAGCUGGGACUACAGGUGUAUGCCACCAUGCCAGGCUAAUUUUUCUAUUUUUUGUAUAGACAGGGUUUCACCAUGUUUCCCAGGUUGGUCUCCAACUCCUGGCUCAAGAGAUCCACCCACCUCAGCCUCACAAAAUGUUGGGAUUACAGGCGUGUGCCACUGUGCCUGGCCUGAAUGGCAUUUUAAUAAGAGGAUCAGAAGAGGAAAAAGGAUGGACUUUGCAGAAAUACAGAUCUGUCACUGACUUCCCAAAACAACAUGCCAAUGCCACUCCCAGACAGACCAGUAUAUAAAUACCACCUCUCAGUUUUAUGAAAUGUCGGGCAAGUCUCUUUAUUUGGGUUAAUUGGGUCUCUGUUGUCUCAGUUAAUUGGGUCUCAGGUUAUUUGGGUUUCAGUUCCCAUGUGGAAAAAGGGAACAUUAAACAUGAUAUAAACUAAAAUGGUACCCAUCACCUAGUUGAUGCUUCAUGAUUUGUGGCUGUUUUAUUACUAUUGCACCUAUUAUCUCAUUUGGUCCUCACAACAUAAAAAUACAGCUAUUAUCAAAGCAGAAUCACUGGAUUAAAGAUAUCCAAGUUGAUAAAACAGCCAAGAUUAGAACACAAAUUUCCUGACUCUGAACUCUGGUUCU
rnacentral:lncRNA from 10 species